AGUGAACGCUGGCGGCGGGCCUAACACAUGCAAGUCGAACGGCAGCACAAGAGAGCUUGCUCUCUGGGUGGCGAGUGGCGGACGGGUGAGGAAUGCAUCGGAAUCUGCCCAUUUGUGGGGGAUAACCUCGGGAAACCGGGACUAAUACCGCAUACGACCUACGGGUGAAAGCAGGGGAUCUUCGGACCUUGCGCAGAUGGAUGAGCCGAUGCCGGAUUAGCUAGUUGGAGGGGUAAAGGCCCACCAAGGCGACGAUCCGUAGCUGGUCUGAGAGGAUGAUCAGCCACACUGGGACUGAGACACGGCCCAGACUCCUACGGGAGGCAGCAGUGGGGAAUAUUGGACAAUGGGCGCAAGCCUGAUCCAGCCAUGCCGCGUGUGUGAAGAAGGCCUUCGGGUUGUAAAGCACUUUUGUUGGGAAAGAAAAGCAGCCGGUUAAUACCCGGUUGUCAUGACGGUACCCAAAGAAUAAGCACCGGCUAACUUCGUA
rnacentral:rRNA from 1 species